UUGUUAGUGGCAGACGGGUGAGUAAUGCGUAGGAAUCUACCUAGUAGUAUGGAAUAGCCAUUAGAAAUGAUGGGUAAUACUGUAUAAUCCCUGCGGGGGAAAGAUUUAUCGCUAUUAGAUGAGCCUACGUUAGAUUAGCUAGUUGGUAAGGUAAUGGCUUACCAAGGCUAUGAUCUAUAGCUGGUCUGAGAGGACGAUCAGCCACACUGGAACUGAGAUACGGUCCAGACUCCUACGGGAGGCAGCAGUGGGGAAUAUUGGACAAUGGGCGAAAGCCUGAUCCAGCUAUGCCGCGUGAGUGAAGAAGGCCUUCGGGUUGUAAAGCUCUUUCAAUAGGGAAGAUAAUGACGGUACCUAUA
rnacentral:rRNA from 1 species